rnacentral:rRNA from 1 species
AUUGAACGCUGGCGGCAGGCCUAACACAUGCAAGUCGAGCGGAGCGGCGGACGGGUGAGUAAUGCCUAGGCAUCUGCCUGGUAGUGGGGGAUAACGUCCGGAAACGGGCGCUAAUACCGCAUACUAUCAGAUGAGCCUAGGUCGGAUUAGCUAGUUGGUGGGGUAAAGGCCUACCAAGGCGACGAUCCGUAACUGGUCUGAGAGGAUGAUCAGUCACACUGGAACUGAGACACGGUCCAUACUCCUACGGUAGGCAGCAGUGGGGAAUAGGGGACAAGGGGCGAAAGCCUGAGGCAGCCAUGCCGCGUGUAUGAAGAAGGCCUUAGGGUUGUAAAGUACUUUCAGCGGGGAGGCGUUACCCGCAGAAGAAGCACCGGCUAACUCCGUGCCAGCAGCCGCGGUAAUAC